rnacentral:lncRNA from 1 species
UUGCUUGUUGUUUAAUUAACAAUUAUGUUGAGCUUGCUAUAUAUGCGCGUUUGUAGGAAGAAAUCAAUAAAGAGUUUGAAGAGAAGAAGCCUGAGCUCCAACCUAAAGUGGUCGAAAUCUAUGAAGCUUCUUCAGCUGAAAUCAAGGUCUCUACAUGAAUGAACAUACCAAAUCUGUUAUAGCUACAAAUGUCAGAGAGAAUUAAAAAGAUCCAAUUCAUGCAAGUUUUUAUUUAUUAAUUUAACCUUUUUUUUUUUUUUUGGCUUUGGCUUUGGCGUUUAAAUGAAAAUACAGACCCUGGUCAAGGAUCGCAAGGAGGAUGGACUUAAGAAGCACUCCACUGCUGUGCACAAGUUACUUGAAGAACUCGUUAAAAUCGGUAAAAUAGUUCUAUCACAUAUGGUAUUAUUAAUUAAAGUUAAGGUCAUGUGUUAAAAUCACAUGAGAAUUUUAUUAACAUAUAUGUAUGUGUGUAUAUACAGAGUUUCCAGGAUCAAAAGCAGUAAGUGAAGCAUCGUCAAAGUUUGGGGCAGCCUCUGUUCCGGGGCCAGUUUUCUUCAUAUUUGAGAAGGUCUCAACGUUUAUUGUUACUGAAGAAAAAGCAGCAGAGCCAGCAACCGCGGCAGCAGGAGAAGAAACAAAACCAGAACAAGAGACAACAAGUAGUAGUACCGCCGCAGUCACAGAGAAGGACGACGUAGUUGUUGAGGAAGAGAAGAAAGAAGAGGCCCCCGCCGGCCCUGAGAAAACUGAGCCGGCAGAAGCCGCCGCCGCCCCAGCCCCAACUGAGCCUCUUCCUGCCGCCGCCAAGGAGGACCAACCAGCUGCUGCAGAGCCACCAAAGCCUUGAGAACAUGCAUCAACUGACAAGACAAAUUCAUAUCCAUAUAUACAUAGAUAUAUAUUUCAUAUUCAUCAAGUGAAAGUGAAGUAAUAAUGUUAAUAUUUUGUGUACGUAAAAGUCUUGUAAAAUGCAAAACAUGAUUUGUUAUUCUUUCUUUUUCCUCUAUAUGCGCAUGUAUAUCACCUACUUGUUUUUUUUUCCCUUGUAUUAUUUUGUUUUACAGUCUUUAUUUUUACUUUCUUUAUUAUUAUUAUUUUUUGUAUUUGUGAAUUAUUAUUAUUUGUAAUAUUUAAUUUUUACAAUACAGGGAUUAAUGUGGUGGGUGGAGAUACCCUUAACGCUUUAGUUGCUUUCAUUGAUUUGAUUGUAUGUGUUUUCCUCAUGGAGAUCAUUUAAAAAGAGAUAGGCAAAAAAAAAAAGAAAAAAGAAUAUUGAUGAUGAGAAGUUAUUUGUUUAUAAUUAAUAAUUCCAAGCUCCCUCUUUCUCGCUAUUUAAUUUAUAAGUGUGUAAUGUGCUCUCUUGACCUACACUUGUGUGUUUCAUUUAUAUAAAUGGGUUGGUGAGGGAAAGAAUUAAAUGUGACUAAUAACGCAAAAAAUAAAUAAUACUUGGGUUUUACAGGGAUGAUUAUUUGUUUACCUUUACAUUGAAGAACUAAAACGAUAUAAUAAUAAUUAUGCAAUGAAGAGGGUCAAAGAUUUUUCUUCUCUUGUGCUUGAAAAUUUCCUUGUCAUUCGUUCUUCUUUUGUUGGUUUCUCUUAUCCUCAUGAAUGGAAAUUUUUUCUCAUUAUUUUUCCUCUCAAUAGCCUACUAGUACUUGUUUUUUUUUUUUCUGAAGCUAAAUUCCAUCACUAAGAUUGUUGAUAAACAAUUAGUAACGACCAAUUAUGAUACUACUUUUGGUCUUUGGUGUGCAACUAUACAUGCACAUAGAUGGAAAAACCUGUAACUCCAUGCUCAUAUAUAUGAUGCAAACGCUAAUUUGGAAUUUUUUUUUUUAUAUAAAGAAAGUCAUUGUUAAAAUUAAUGUUUUUUAAUAAAAAAAAUUAUUAGGUACUUCAUUUCUAGAAUAUGUCCCUAUUGAUUUUAUUUUUUAUUUGAAAUCCAUCUUUUUCUCAAAUGUUUAUUUCAAUCUCUUAAAUCCACGUUUCAUAUGAUGUGAUCCGUUAGUAUCUUUUUUUAAUCUCAAUAUCUUGUCUAUUACCUAAUAAUCUAAACUUUUAAAUCAAGCAACAUCCUAAUUAUAAAUUUUCAAAAUCCUAUCUGCAAGAAGAAAAGUAAUCAUCGAACAGCUCUAAAAUAAUAAUUUUCCAUUUCUUGUUUAUUGUGACUUACACAGCACAGGACAGGCCAAUGGCCACCAUAAAAAUAAAUAAAUAAAUGACAUAAAAAUACAUGAAAUUCAUUUUUCUAUGCUCUCUUACAAUUUGAUGAAAUCAGAAACUGGGCCGUCCAAAACGGGAAACAGGCCCAGAUGAGACAUCUGGGUAAGAAACUGAGCCCAAAGAAGUUUACAAACGUAGAGCUCAACUCAAAAUAAACGCAGCCUCGCAGAAAAUUUUGGUUGCUCUGUUCAAUUUUCACCGACCAUGUAAACGUGAUUCUUCUGCUAUCACUCUUGUUGUUGCUGGUAAGGUAACUGAAGAAAAGGGUUUAGGGUUCAUCUAUUUUUUUCUAAUUAUUUGGUGUCGCACUUUUGCAUUAUUAUUUUUUGUUUGUUCUAAUAGAUACAAUUUCAAUUUUGUAGCAAUUUUUUUUUUCAGUUUUCAUCAAAAUAGAAGAAAGGGAACUUUAAUUUUUCAAGACUAUUUCUGAAAUAAAUGCAUUUUGGGACUUGAUUUGAUGCUAACUGAAAAAUUCGUUUAAAAGGUGGAAUCUUUAACUGGCACUGGUUAUGAAAUUCUGAGUUCUUAUUUGAAUGUGUUGAAGAAAAACUCUUAGGUCAAUGGUCUCCUUACUGUUUUUGCUGACUUAUUUCACGUUUAUGGAGUCUCAUUUAUGCUCCGCAAUUCUUUUAUUUUUGGUCUUUAUUUCUUGCUUUCAUUGUUGCAUUCCGCUUUAAUGACUAUGAUUCUUGGUGAUUAUUAAACCCUUUUUUCUCAUAUCAGAUGGAACCAAUGAGUGGAUUGAAUCAGGACCUGGGAAACGUGGGGCUAGGAAAGGCUGAAGGUGACACUGUAGAAGUGGAGGGUUUAAACAAAACUAUUGAUGAUAUAUUGCAGAAAGUUACUCAGGUGACACUCUUUGACGGCAUAAAAACUAUUAGCGACUUACAUUUUUGUAAAAGAUAACAUUUUCCUUUUGCUGUGUGUUAUAAGUUAUAUUUUUGCAAACCCUUAACUAUUCUCUGUCUACCAUUUUGGGUUUGCCCUAUGCUAGAUGAAAUGGUGAAUCAAAGUCUAUAUUUAAUUGAUAUGAAUAAAUUUGGCAUUGGGAUCCUAAUCAUGCUUUUGGCAGAAUUGAUUUGUCUAGAGAUAUAGCUGUGUUUGUGAAUGGAGCUUUUCAUUGUUUGGCUUGUUGACUUUUGAUUAAGCUUCUGUAAACUUCUUAUUUGCUAGUAUCUAUUCAUCUUGACAUUAAUGUUUUCUUUCCAGCUUGAGCAAAAACUGAAUGAUGUUGAGCAGUUCUACCUGACUAAGGAUAAUAAUCAACCAAACACUUCGAAAAGUAUCUCAAUUGCGAAGGAAAAAUUGAAGGAUAGACAUGUUGCUAGCAUUGAGAAGCAGCAGCAAGAUGCAUUUCAUAGGGAAGAAGCUGCUGGAAGGAGGAUGCAAGAACUUAAGCGCCAGUUUGCUGCAAUUUUUCGUCAGGCAAGCACGAAGCUUUGUGAGUUUUGGUCAUUGUUUUUUAGUUUUUUAACUACUUAUGUAUGCUUUUGAGUCAGUUUUGAUACAUAUUUCAAAAGUUGAGGUCAACUAAAUUUUUUUCAGAAAAAUUUAAAUUAGUGUUUUCUUCAAAUAAAUCUUACUUGCUAACUAAGAAUUAUACUUGUGGGUAGUAUUCUUCGUUUAUGAUAUGCUUUGGGUUCAAAUGGCUAUGCAAUCAUUUCUCACGGUUAUUCCCCAUUCUUUAAUGUCACAGAUCACUCAGCACAAGUGGGCAUGGCCUUUUAUGCAUCCUGUUGAUGUUGAAGGUCUUGGUUUGCAUGACUACUAUGAGGUUAGGCAUAUUGCUUCCUUAGCUUUCUGAUUGUCUUUCUGUAUGGUCAUCAGUUGACCCAGAAUGUAUCCUAAUCCUUGGCCUAAUUCGUCUAAUGAUGAUUGAUUCUGAUUCUUAUUAUUUUAUGUUGUUUUCAUUUGCACCCAACUAUUAAUUGUUGUCCCUGGAAAAUUUUGAAAAUUUUAAGUGAUUCGUUGGAAAGACUUGGUGCUAGUUUACUAUUUUUAAUUCUUUUAGAUGAAAACUAAAUGAAGACGAUUGAAAUGGUAUCCGCAUCUUGAAUUUGUGUCUGGUUGUAGAAUUCAGCAUUGAUUAGUGGAUCUCUCAUUGAUAGCCUUGCAGCUAUCUUUUACUCAUGUUGGAUCCAUGUUUAAUCUUUUCUUUCCCCUUUUUUAUAUAUGAUGUCAAUUAAUAUGUUUUAUGUUUCAUAUACCAGGUUAUUGAGAAGCCCAUGGACUUUAGUACAAUAAAGAAUAAGAUGGAUGGUAAGGAUGGUACUGGGUACAGGAAUGUGAGGGAGAUAUAUGCUGAUGUUAGAUUGGUAUUUAAGAAUGCAAUGAAAUACAAUGACGAAAGAGAUGAUGUCCAUGUAAUGGCAAAAUCACUGUUGGAAAAAUUUGAAGAAAAGUGGCUGCAGCUUUUGCCUAAAGUAAUGGAAGAGGUUAGUCAAUUCUCCAAUAUGAAAUUUCCUUUGUCAAAUUGACUUAAACAAGGACUUUUUUGAUGUCUGGUAACAGUCCUUUAGCUAGGAAAACUUCCAUGCUUUCUGUUUCUAAAUUUUAGCAGCUUGUGAUGGCUUCCAUACUUGUACUUACAGGAGAAAAGACAAGAGGAGGAGGAAGCGAAGGCACAACUUGAUAUGCAACUCACUCAGGAGGCUGUCCAGACGAACAAAGCUAAGGAAUUAAGAAGUGAAGUAUGACAUUCCAUUCAAUAUGCCUUUUAAAUUGCAUAAAACAAAUUUAUUAUUUGAAAGUCAGCGUCUUAAGAUUGUAUGAACUAACUGUUGAACUUGAAUUAAAAUAUUUUCUUGUCAAACUUUUGGCCUUGAACAACAUGAAUUUAAUCUGUUUUCCUCCUUAAGAUGUCUUUGACAUGCAUCUAUUUUUUUAUCAUAUAUGUUCUAGCUAGCUGCAUGCAUCUAUUUUUAUCAUACAUGUUCUAGCUACAAGUUAGUUGUACGUCAGGGUAUGUUUUGAUGCGUGUCUGUAACAAUGUAUAUCUGAACUGUUCUCAGCUUAAUGAAGUUGAUAUGCAACUCGAGAACCUCAGAGAAACAGUGAUUCAGAAGUGCAGGUUGGUAUAGCAACCCUAUUUUACUGCAACUUUUACAGUCAAAUUGUACUGAUCCAAAUAUCAUGGAGAUUGCAGCACCUGCAUGUGAUCUAAAUAUAUACUUUUUCUUCAUUUAUAUUCUCGUUUAUGACUAAGAAACUUUUUGACUGAGGUUGAGAGUUAGCUUUGGCAGUUGUAGCUGGUGUGGUUUAGGAGUGUCAAUUGAGAUCUUGAAUUAUGGUUCGAUGAUUGUUAUAACAUAGAGCUAGUACAUGAGUGUAGAAGGAGAAACAAAAAUGAAGGGACUCAAAAGAGUAAUGGAAAGCUUUAGACCUUGUUUAUGUGAUCUAACUGUUUAAGUAUUUUAAUCUGGGGCAGAAAAUGAGAACCUUCGGCAACCAAAAUGCUCUGGUAUCCCAGAUAUUCCAGUAUCCAUAUUGCUAAAAAUGUAAAAUCUGUAUUUAAAUGUGGUUUUGAGAGAGAGAGAGAGAGUCCUGGAUUGCAUUUCAGAUCGUAAUGUGGUAAGUUGGAAUGAAAUAGUGGUGGCUAUCAUUUAUCAAAGAACUAGUUUAAACAGAACGAGUCCAUAAACUUUUAAUGGGUGUUCAUAAAUUUUAGAACAUCUUUUUGGCAGUUGUGCUUGCUUGCAUGCUCUAUUUGUGUCUGUUGAAGUUGAUUGUUGUGCUCAUACAUUUUAUCAAUGUGGACUGUGUGCAUUGUUUCAGAAAAAUGUCGACUGAAGAGAAGAAAAAUCUUGGGACAGCUCUCACCAGAUUGUCCCCUGAAGAUCUUUGUAAGGCACUGGAGAUAGUUGCUGAGAAUAAUCCAAGCUUUCAUGCAACUGCUCAAGAAGUGGACCUGGACAUGGAUGCUCAGGUCCAUAUUUUAUGUUGGAUUCGUUUAUCAUCUGAUAUUGUCUGUCCUUUCUUUCAUUUCUUGUCAAGUUAUUCGGUAAUUUUCAGGCAACUGAGAUCUAUCCUUUUAUUUUCUACCAUUUUCCAAAAUCAAUGCAGAGUGAAUUAACAUUAUGGCGGCUAAAGGUUUUCGUACAAGAAUCACUGAAAGCUGCAAGUAGGAGUUCUGGGGACAUGGGUGGCAACAACAAUAAUAACAAUGAUGACAACAACAAUGAGAAGGACAACAGCAACAAAAAGAACAAAAACAAUCCCAAACGAAAAAAAGAGAUUUGUGAUGCUCUUGCAAAGCCUGCUGUGAAAAGGACUAAGAAGCUCCCACCUAAUACAUGAGCCACUUGUCUGUCAGCAGUGCAGUUUCUAAUGGUUCGUCCCAGUGCUGAAUGUUUAAGAAACAUAUUUUUGCAAAUUCCCGAAAGUUAUACAUUGUAAUUUUGUAAAUUCCCGAGUGGUGUAUAGCCCUUGAGCAAAUUUAUAAUUUCAGUCUUCUUCAGAUUCACCCCUUAUUGAACCUAACUUCAUUUACAUUUAUUGUUUUCAGCUUCUUUGCCAAAGAAUGUAAUGUAUGCAUGCAAUUUUGUGUUCUAUUAAAUAUGUUUCCUCACAUUUGGGUUAUAUGAUCAACUACUGCCAAUUGUUCUGAUAACCAUACAUACAUAUAAAAGAAUAAAUGAGAAGUUGGCUGUUAAAUAUAAUACCACUAGUUUGAAAAUUAAACAUCCAAGCUUGCUUCAUCUCUCCCUUAAAAGGAGAUAAUGGAUAACUAUCGGUGAAUUUUUCGACUGAAAUCUCAUGAGAAUACCAAUUAUAUUGACUUUAUUUACAAUAAUAUUGAAACUUUUGCCCACGCAGUAAUCGCAAGAAACUAAGAUUGAAGUUAAAUUACCACUAACCUUUAAAACAAUAAUAUUUCCACUGAGAUGUAAGAAGUUUAGAGCAAACUUUAAGUGACAAAAUCAAUGCUGUUGAGGUCAUUGUAAUCCAGUAAGUAGUAAUCCACUAAAACAAUCGCACAUUUGCUUCCCACAAUACCAGCAUUUUUAUCCAAGACUGAAAGAACCAUAUGAAUACUGGGCAGGAAGACAGACCAUAUCAAAACUCCAGAACUUAUGUACACAGCUUUCUCCCUCAUCCAUAUAUCAAUUGUUAUUGCUGCUGGCACUUCUCCGAAAUGAUAGUCGAUGAACUUGUGAAAGCAGCGUGUCCAUUACCCCUACAGGAGCUGCUUUGUUUGGUACAAUAUCCUUUGCAUCCAUUUGAAUAUCAAAAUCACGCCAGAACUUAAUGAUGUGGAGAUUCUCUUCUUCUGUUGAUCUUUGGACGACAAUCCUAGCAGCAUAACCCUUCUCCAUCAUUUGGAGGCAUAUCUGUGAAGGAUCAUUGGCGGUAAGAGUGACCAAGUAUAACCAGCCCCUUUUUGACAAAAGUUUGUCAGCACUGGGCAAAAUCUUAUCAAUAACAGCCCGGCCAUUCUCCCCUCCAGCCCAAGCAGAUGCAAUUCCUUCACGACCUACUUCAUCUUCAGGAGUGGGCACAUAUGGUGGAUUCACAACCAUUACAUCAACCAACCCUGCCAGACGCUUUUCUAGUCCUGAUGCAAUGUCAGUGUUUAUCAAGUCUGCAUGAACAUUAUGUGCUUCUAGUGUCUUACGGGUCACUUCCACUGCAUAAGGGUUGAUAUCAGUGGCAAUAUAUUGGACGCCAGGAACUUCUUGCCCAAGCAUUAAAGCUAGAGAAGUGAUAACAUAUCCACUACCACAACCCACUUCCAUACACAAUACCGGAUGAUGCUCUACCAAGUUAAUUCGAUCUGCUAGGAGAGCAUCAACUAGUGCAAAUGAAUCAUCACAUGGUUCAUAAACCUCAGGAUGUGAGCUCACAAGACGAAUUUGAGCAGUUCUUAAGGACAUCUUCUCGGAACCUGACAGAAGUGGUGGAUUGUGUAAUGAUCAACGACAAGUUGGACCUGGACAGAAAUAUAAGUAUCUAAUUACAUUUUGAAAACCUGAAAUGAUAUUUGACAUGACAAAUUUUGAACUAUAGAUAUAACUAAGGAUGUAAAUAUAGCAUAGGAAUAUAUAUAUCCAAAAGAAGUUAAUACUGUCAAUAGCUUAACAAUGGCCUCAGUUUCUGGAAGCAUCAGGCACGCUUCGCUUCCUGAAUCAAAGAACAUAAACAAGAACAAAACCAAAAAUAAAGCUUAAUAAUUGAAACAUUUAUAACAUGAGAACUCAAAAAUAAGAGGACGCAAAAUGUACUAUCUACCUCAAAUAAACAGAAUAUAUAAACUGAAGUGAAAUUGAAAUGGAGCUUCAAUCUUCAAAAUCCAAAAAACAUUAAGUGACCUAGCAUCCCCGAAGUUGUUUCUGGCAUCAUCCAAGAUAUCCCAGAUAAUAGAGCACAAAAUUUACAGUAUAAUCAGUUAUGGGAACUCGCUGCGGAAAUUUCUCAAACAAUCGGCGUGCAGCAAUAUGUAACAAAUUACACGAACCUCUAGAUUUGAAGACGUUACCUCCGUCGUUGCUUUGCAUAGUGGUUCAAUGGCUCAGUGCGUCUUUUGGUCUCUGUUUGCGGGCAGACACAACGGCCCAAACGGAACCAAAAACCACAAAUGCCCUCGUCUAUUUCAAGCUUUUUUUCUCUCUCUCUAAAUUUAAUUUAAUAUGGUUUAUUAGGUUUUUAUUUGUGAGUAAGCUAUGCAAAAAAAUCAACUUAUUUAUUAAUCACAAUUGAAACAUGAGUUAAAAAUGUACAUGUGUCAAAUAAUUAUCUAAAGAUUAGGAAAGUCUGAGGGUGGCACUUUUUUUUGUGUCUGAAACUUGAUUUAGUUUAAAUCUUUAAUAUAAGUGAAUGUCUGAAUCUGAAUGAUAUGUUUAUUUUUUUAUUUGAAUUGUUAAAAAUAAAUAUUAAGUUAUUUUUUUAACUUAAAAAAUUUAAAAACUAAUAUUUUUAUAUUUGUGCUCUUACAAAUUAUAAAUGUUAAACAAAUAAUAAACAUGUAAACAUAUUAAAUAACAUAAUAUAAUUAUCAUAACAUGAUUAAAUAAUAAACAUAUUAAACAAGAUAAUAUAUUAUCAUAACAUAAAUCAUGUUCAAUUGAAUACAACCAUUUAUAUUCUGAAUUAGUACAUGUUCAUCAAUUUUAUUGUAAUUCAUGAUGUUUUUAUAUGAAAAAUAUUCAUAAAAAAUAUGAAGAUAAAUAAUGCUAAUUUGAAGAAAUAAAAAUAUAAAAAUAAUAACAUUCUACCAAUAUAUUAUCACAAGUUAUAGUGAUGGAUAAUAAUGUUAAUUAUUAAAUUUUGUUUAGGUAUGGAUUAGAAUUGAUUAAUUAGAUAGGGAUAUUUUUUAGAAUAGUUUUUAAUGACAUCAUUCAGGCUUUUUAGAUUACGUAAAAAGUUAAAAAGAAUUGACUUAAUAAGUUAAUGACUGAAAAUUUUCAUUAAAUUAAAAAAUAGACAGACUUAAUGACUUAACUAAUUAAAAUUAAAGUAGAUUAAGUCAUUAAAUAAAAAAUACAAAAACAACUCUUAAGAAAAGAUACUAAUAAUUCCAAUUUAUUACUUAUUUGGGUUCAACCCCUCUAUUCUUAAUUAUUUCGGGGAUCAAUUAGAAGGAAUUUAUGCGUGAUAAUCAAUAUAGUUCAUGAGAUUCUUUUUAAUUAAUUGUUUUUUUUUUUUAAUUAUUGACUAAGGCUUUGGAGGAUCACCAAUAGUUCAGAUUUAGAAGAAUAAAAAGUGUGUUCUGAAUACAUCAAUUGUGAUCAGAGAGAGAAAGAGAGAUUGAUAGGCAUAGACUUACAUGGGCACAUGGCUGUAGGUGAUUAAUAUAAGCAACCCAUUCAAACGUAGUACAUUUAAUAAUUGAUAGUCACGUCUUGUGGCAAAAUUUUGUGUUCAUGAAAUUUGCUCGAAAACUAUUUUACAUCGGUUUAGUAGUCCAAUGCAAAUGAAAGCAACAUCAAAUCAUAUGGCGAUCACACUAUUUAAUGAUCACUCAAUAAUGGAGAUUGAAGACCACCACCAGUGCCCAUCAUUCCAUUACGGUUUAUACUUUAUAGUACGUUUUUUUCUGUUCGGUGUCGCAAAUGACUGUAACACCCCUCAAAUCUAAUUGCCUCAACAAUACAACACCAAGUUUUGUAUUUAAAUUCUCUCCUUUCAGCAUAUAACAAGGGCAGAAAAACAAAACAAUAAAACAAAAACCAAAAAGAAACUCAAAAGCUACAGCAUUAGGUUGCUAUCAAGUGCUUCUGUUGUGUGUAACACUGCAGAAUUUGCACCACUAGAUUAAUAUGAUCUUGUUAAGAAUAUUUUGAUGAUCAUUACUUAUUGCAUUUGAAAUGUAUUUGGUUUUUGAGCUUGGGCAAGCAUUUGAACAACUUCUCUCAUGGUGGGUCUCUCCACGCCGUGUUCUUGAACACAUAGCAUAGCAACAAAGAACACUUGCAUUGCUUCACUGAGAGGAGUAUUACUCAAUCUUUGAUCAAGUAUCUUCACCACUCCUUCUUUGCUUGAGUUUGUUUGCAUUUUGGUCCAUUGAACAAUGUCUAGCCCUUCUUCCCCAAAAUCACCCACUGGCCUUCUCCCUGUUAUCAGCUCUAACAGUACCACCCCAAAACUGUACACAUCACUUUUCUCAUCAACUUUCAAUGUGUACGCAUACUCUGUUAAGUUAAAAAAAACAAGUACAAAUUAUUAACUAAAUUUAAGUCAUAUUAUAUAAAUUAAUACUGGUUCGAGUAGUGCGACAAAUCACAUCUUAUCUGAAUUUACGGUAUCAUAUGCUUCAAAAGGGGUAAAUGAGACUAUUUCAUUGUGGUUGACUGGUGAGAUUUGAAUGAAAUGCUCGCUGUGUGUAUGAGCAAUGCACCAUGCUUUGGCAAAGGGGAACUAGGGAGGAUCAACUCAAUUCCCCAGGUAAAGUAACAGGAAAAAGAAAAGGUGGUUGUGGCUUUGUGCCUUUGGCUGUAUUCUAUAUAGACAAGAAUCUUUUUCUAGGGCUCAGUAAAAGUAAACCUUUGAUCCUAAUCAGCAUUGUUAGAUAGAGUAUGUAUGCUUUGGAUUCAUGUGUAUCUUUUUAUUGUUAUAACUGGUUUUUGGGUCAAAAGGUCACUAGUUAUUGGUUUGAAUCUGAAUGAAAAUUGGGUUUAUGGUUUAGCUAAAGCCUUGUUUGUGGUAGGACAACAGAGAAAAAGUAAAAGGUGAAUUGUCCUGUGUGUUAGAGGAGCCUUUGCCCUUCUUGGACUUCACAUGGCUCUGCUGAUACUACUUUAGUCCAAGAAAAGGAAAAGUAUAUUCUUCAAUAUUUGGACAUGAUAAUGUUUGGAAUCAAUGAUUCAAUGUUUUCCUAGCUUGGGAGACAGACUCAUUUCAUGUUUUUAACGUAAGUCAAAAGCUUAAUGCUAGCUACAAUUGCUUUUGGUCGCAGCACAAUGAUGUGGCUACAAGCAUCAUUAAUUUUUGGACUGUGCAUUAAGGAAUUGCUUUCAAAUUAUCUAGGAGAAAGAGUAAGUGUACCUGGAGCAAUAUAGCCAUAAGAUCCAGCAACUGCAGACAUGCAUUCUGAUGCUCCGGUGUCUUGCAAGUACUUAGCCAGCCCAAAAUCUGCUACAUGAGCCUCAAAAUCUGAGUUGAGUAGAAUGUUAUUUGACUUGACAUCUCUAUGGAUUAUGAGAGGAGAACAGUCAUGGUGUAAAUAAGACAGGCCUUUGGCAGCUUCAAUGGCUAUUUUUAGCCUCAUUUCCCACUUCAAAAAACUCCCUCUCUUGCCAUGCAGAACUUCACCUAAGCUUCCAUUUGGCAUGUACUCAUAAACAAGUAAAUUUGUUUCUUUAUUGGAGCAAAAUGCCUUCAACCUCACAAUGUUUCUGUGCCUAAUCUUACCCAGUGUCCGAAUUUCUGCAGACAGGCCAUUGUCAUGAGAAGAACCUUUUGUUAUGCCUAAUAAUUUCUUCACAGCUACUUGCUCUCCAUUUGGCGUAACUCCUCUGUACACAACUCCAGCUCCACCUCUGCCUAUCACAUUGUUGUCUUUUACACAUUCCAGGAUGUCAUCACUUCCAAAAUCGAGCUUCUGGAAUGCCGUGAGCUUCCAUGAAUUUGAAUUUUUCCGAAACUUUCGAGUCUUGAUGAUUGCUAAAACAGCAAAUACUAAUGAACAUAACAAAAGUCCCAAAGCAAAAAGAAGCUUAUAUUUUCCCGGGACAUGAGACUUGUUGCCAUUUUGGUUGUGUAUCGGGGUAGUUGAUGAAUAGUUGCAUGGAUUCAAGUAAGAUCCACAGAGGUGAGGGUUACCGGUAAAGGAUGUGGAGUUAAAGAAUGAAUAUUGUCCAAACUCAGGAAUUUCACCAGAGAAAUUAUUGUGGGAAAAAUCAGCUGAAGUUAGGCUCUUCAUGUUUCCCAUUUCCUUGGGCAGGCUUGCAUUCAAUUGGUUCCAAGAAACAUUGAGAUAAUUCAAUAUGUGAAUUUGAGUAAUUUGAACUGGGAUUGGGCCUGAGAGAUGGUUUUGGCUCAAGUCUAAAUAAGUAAGCAAGAGACAAUGACCAAUCUCGACAGGAAUGAUGCCAGAAAAGUUGUUCCUACUCAUAUCCAAAUGUAGCACAUUUUUAAGCUGCCCAAUUUGAGAUGGAAUCUCUCCUGUUAAUUUGUUCCCACUGAGUAGAAAAAUCUGCAGGCUAGAGAAAUUUCCAAUAGAAGUAGGAAGGGGCCCUGUUAGCCGAUUGUUUGAAAGAUUCAAUCGGCUAAGCUUUGAGGGCAAUACCUUGCCUGUUUCUGCCGGUACGCUUCCAGUGAGAUAAUUAUUCUGCAGCUCCAACAGUGAGAGUUCUGGCAAAUAAAGUAGCCCAUAUGGUAUGGAUCCUGUCAAAUAAUUCUGCCAGAUCCGAACUUUAACUAGAGUUUCACACUGGGCAAGAUCAGCAGGCAGAGGACCAAACAAGAAAUUGUUGAACAAAAUCAAAAUCAACAGCUGCCUUCCGAAACACAAAGAUUUAGGGACUAAUCCUGUGAGCUUAUUUGUGGACAGAUCGAGUACUUUCAGCCUACCGUUUGCUCCAAGCUUUGAAGGAAUAGGCCCAGUAAAAUUAUUCUGCCAAAGCUGUAAAACUUCCAAAUUAUCUAGCUCUGCAAUGAAACGGGGAAUCUCCCCAUGGAACCUGUUGAUAUUUAGCUGCAAGAGGGUGAGCUGUCGAAGCCCCGAAAGCUCAAGUGGAAUUUCUCCGGUAAGGCUGUUUUUCGAAAGAUCAAGAGUUCUCAGGCUACUCAAAUUGCCCAGUUGAGGAGGAAUAGAACCGGUGAGCUCGUUUACUUGCAAGAACAGGGUGUCCAGCUUGUUUAGAUUGCCUAAUUCAGGGGGUACCGAACCCUCCAAGCUGCAGUUUGCGAGGUCUAGAUGAACAAGACUGGUCAACUUGCCAAAUUCAGCUGGGAUUCCGCCAUCAAAGUCAUUGAAAUAGCCCAAGAAAAGCUGCUCGAGUGUAGUGAGGUUUCCAAGCUCACCAGGUAUGAUACCAUUCAAAUCAUUUCCCCCGAGAUGGAGAUAUAAAAGCUGCUCAAAGUCACCAUAGUUUGGAGGAAUUUUCCCAGAGAAAUAAUUCCCUCCUAAAUGCAAAUGCUGCAGCUUUGAAAGUUGAGAAAGACCUAAUGGCAGUGAACCGUUGAACUCGUUGUUAUAAGCAUCCAGCACCACAAGCUCUUUCAACUGAGAGAAAUCCCAGUUUAAUUCUCCACUGAGCAUGUUGUUCGACACAUUCAAGACCUGAAGCCUUGUCAGCCGAUGCAUGUCCCUGGGGAGCUCGCCAGAAAAGCCGUUAUCGGAGACUGAAAGAUAGACCAGACUGCGGAGUUGAGUGAUCGCAGGUGCAAGAGAACCGGAGAUAUUGAAACUGGAUAUAUCAAGAGAAACAACUGACGUAUUCGCGAUAUCAUCACAUUUGAUGCCUGGCCAAGAACAGAGAGACAUGAAAUUGGAUACAUUCCAGGACUCAAGAGAAGGGUCAUACGACUCAAACCCUCGUUUGAGCGAAACAAGGAUUGAAGCUUGCGCUUUGAGAGACAGAUUACGUGAGGAAAGUGAAUGGGAUGAUGAAGAGAAGAGAACGAGAAGUAGAGAAGAGAGAAGUACUAUGACUCUCACGACAUCCAUUGAAAGAUUAUUUUUUUUGGCUUAGAGAAAGACGGUAUUGGAGAAACCAACCCCUUUAUUUAGAUUGGAGAAGAUUAUCAUGCAGAUAGAUGCAGUAACAUCAACGAAUAUACAAAGAGAUAAUAAAGAGAGAGUGAUGAAAGAUGAAAUGAAUGUAAAGAUAAAGCUUCCCCCACAUUAACAGCAUCCAAGGUCAUGUUUGCUCGUUGGUGCUUGCUUGCUUGCUUCAGUAUUUUAUAUUUUAUUUAAUUUAUUUUUUUCUGGAUAGCUUUUGCUUUAUAAAAGGAAAAGCAAAAGCAAACGUUUGCAUAAAGAGGUGCGCUGCAACAGAUCGUUUUAUCAAAACCAAUAUCUAGUAGAAUUUCCAUCACCUUUUUUAGCCAAGUUUAUAACUGAGUGGGUUUUUUUUUUUUUUCGCCCCCUCUUCUCUCUCUCUUUCUUGAUUAUCGAAAAUAUGUUGAUUCCAUUUAGGAUUAGUUUCAGUAUUAGUUGCUUCAAUGUUUAGUAUAUUUUGAAAAUGCAAUGGCAGGUAAUAUCUCUCUUUUAAGUUUUUUAACUUGAAGCAGAAAAUCAUUUGAAUUUUUAAUUUCCUUGCUCAUGCAUUAAUACAAUUUUGAACAUCAACAAAAGUUUUUAAGUUAUCGACAAAAGCAGUCCAAUCACACCUUUCACAUUUCAUUUUUAAUUAAAAAGAAAAAAAAAAUUCCACCUACAACUUUGCUGCAAAAUGACCAUCAUUUUCUAGUCUUUUUGUAGAGCGGCAGCCAGCGCCAGCCCAGCCUAGCCUAGCCAACUUAUUCUAACUAAGCCAUACAAAAAUGUGUACUUUGACUUAGUAAACUGUGUAUUAACCUUUAUCUUUCGAGUUUAAUAACGACGAUCAAAUAGGAAUAAUAUCAACAUUGGGGACCCAAAUCACCCUUUGAAUCCUUCUUUUUUUUAAUUUAGAUGAUGGAAUAUUUGAAAAUACACACAUAUAAUAAUAAAUCUAGGUAUUGGGACCAAUUUUCUUUUGCUGUUCGCAUAAAGAGCCCGCCCCCCAUACUCUAUACUUUCCAGAAAGAAGAGAAAAAAAGGAAAAAAGGAAAGUACGUUGGUUGAAUUCUGGGGAUGUUGGGAUUCAUAACUUCAACUUUACUCCUGCUAUAUAUAUAUUAUGAUCUCUCCCCCGUCCCCGUGUGAUGGACCCAUACAUGCUGGAGCUGUAAAAUGAAGAUCGAUAAUGUUAUCAUUGCACGAGAAAAUAAUAACAUCACUCGUCAAAAUAAUCAAUAAUUGUUUUGAGGCCAACCCAUAUCGAUAUCGUGAAUUAAGAGUGCAUCAUUGUUCGGAAAGCAUGUGGUUGCCCCCAUCAUCAUUGGGGAGGGGGGGGUCUCUUCUUCUUCUUCUUCCAAUUCGCGCCUGAAAACAAGGACAUGCAUAGAUAUUGUUGAUGAUUCUGCAAGUCAAAGACUACACAUAAUAUUUUCCUCAUAUAUGUAACAUAAUAUUAUAUUAUUAUAUCUCAUAGGAUGGAUAGCCAUGAAUCAUUUUUUUUUUAAAAAGAGCACAAUAGUGGGUCCUAGAAGAAGUGCUUUAAAUUGAUGCAUGAGUAUAACAUAUAUAUACGGGAAUUAAUUAACAUGUAAUUAAACUUAUUAUAUACGUAUAUGUAUAAACGCGCACACACACACACUCAUCAAUUGUUUCUAGCCCACGUAGGGCUGCUUGUUAAUUUGUAUAGCUAUAUGUGUACACACACACACUCAGCACAUUUUGAUGAUAUGUGAUGGUCCUUGUUGCCUUAUCAUUUUCAUGAUCACAUCGCAGGAAUCCCGACCCUAGCUAGUCUCUCUUUUAGACUUAUAAAUAAUGUUACGCCCCUGUGAACAAUGUGAUCAUUAUUGGACAGCUCACAAAAUAAAUAUGGUAUGCCAAAUUUAUUAGGGAAACAUUGAUUAAUUAGUUCAUAUAUACAUAUCCACAUUUCUCUCGUCGAUUUUCACUACUGCAUGCCUGAGCUGAUCAUCAUGAGAUAUGGGAGGGAGCCAGGGUUUUGCUUCCCUUUUUUUAUUUUUUUUUCUUUUAACAGCUAGCUAGGAUAAUUAUGAACUGGAUCAAGAGCCUCAUCAUUUGAAUGAAGUACUUGGAAAAACUAAUACUAUAGAUAUAGUUUGAAUGUGUAAUUAUUCAUCUUUGCUGUUGUAAUUAUUUAGAUAUGUGCCGAGUAUAAAUCUGAGGCACAUAAAGUUAUUGCCUUUUGCAAUUUGCUCGGAGAAUACAAUAAUUCAUCUGGGGUUUUUCUGACGUGGAUGGUGAGAUUGUUCCUAUUUGCUAGCCAGCUAGCGGCAAGGAAAUUAAAUAUAAAAUCAAAUCAAAUCAAAUAAAAUUACUGGUGACAUGGAUAACACAUUUUGAUACAUAAAACCAACUUACACAUGACGAAUGCUUGACAUAAUUUCUUGUACAACUAAAAGAUUAAUUCCCCAAUUUUAUGUACUUAUAUGACGUGUUGAAGACUCACUGAAAGCCCAAAAUUUCAUGUCACCAUUACCAAAGCAGCAUAUAUCCCAAAAUUUUUAUCUCUAAGAAUAUGAUGUCGUCGUACUAUUUACUAUAUUAUCACAAGUGUUGUCUUGGCACAUUAGAAUAGUACUUAGUGUUAUAUAAUUUUUUUUUGAAAUUAGUGUUGUAUAUAAACUACGAAUGCAUUAGUUUCGAAAAAAAAAAGAAAAAAAGAAAAAGAAAUUAUAGAUGAAUUAAUAUUGUGUACUCUUGAAUUUUUUUCAUCUUUCGCUAGAUAAAAGUGAAUUAUCAUUAAUAUCAUUUAUUCUCUCAAAAAAUGAGAGUGCAUUAUUUGUCAAUAAAGGGUCGACGUCUGCCAUUCUCAGUAACGAAGUAAUUCUUUAGGCCCGUUACAUGGUUUGGUGGGCUGGGUGCCUGCAUCUUACAAGUUUAAUCCACGUACCUUUGCGACUGGUAAACGAGCCCAUUGAGUAAGUCAACCAAUAAAGAGAGAGAGAGAGAGAGGAAAUUGGCUAACACAUUCGGUUUCUCAAGAUAAUUUGAACGAGAUUUCGAUUGAAAUAACUAAAAGCAAAAUUUUAACUUUGCAAUGCAUAAAAAAUAAAAAAUUAUUUAUUACCUUUUUCUCUUUUUACAAACGGUGAAAUGCAUAGUGAUUGGUUCCUUUGAUAAAUUUUCUUACAAUUAGGGUGCUUUAAUUCAAUUUCAUUUCAUAUUUUAAAGGGUAAAUUUUGGGUUCUAAAUUGUGAGAUGAUAAUCUUCAAAGUAUCCCUCAAAUUAUUGUAAAUCUCAGCUUACCACUUAUUUUUACUGAGGAGAUUAAAAAAAAAAAAUCAUUAAUCCUUUCUAUUUUUCCCUUAUCUUUUCAAGAUAAAUUAAAACUUAAUAUAGUUUAAGAAGUAUUUUAAAAAUUAUUAUUUUACAAGGAUUGAAUAAUAGCAAAUAAAGUGGUGACUUAAUCACUUUUAAGAUAAUAAAUAACAUAAGAAAAAUUCCAAUAAUUAAAUUAAUUUUUUAGUAUAACAAUAAAUUUUUAUUGAAAGAAACCUUAUUACAGUUGUAAAGCAGACGAGCAUGCUGAAAAAGAAUGUGUCAAAUUCAAAAGAGUCCAUCGCGGUAAUUUGCCUAUCAUUUUCCUCGUUUCUUUUCAGUAUCAUUAUGUUUGUAUAUUUUUUCCAUUUUUUUUAAUCAAUUUAAAAAAUGAAGAAAAGGUAAACAAGAAAAAAUAAAUUGAAAGGUCAAAAAGCUGCUUUUGCAUUGAUAUAGAGAAGAGGGCAGAGAAAAAAAGAAGAAGAAGCGCAUGAUUGAAGAAGCAAAGAAUUUAACAUAAUGGAGGGUAAAAAUAAAUAAAUGGAGAGCCGGUGACGAAAGCCCUUGAGCCAAUUUGUAUGAUAAACGAGUUAGUUGGCUCUGCUGAAUUCAUCAACAUCACAAUAUUGCAUUUGCUCGCAGGGCGAUUGAAGAAAUAAUUAAAGAAAACAUGGCAGCCUGCUUUCUCCUUUUCAUUGCUUGUUUGUUGUCAGCAAGGGUUCAGCUCUGCUCUGUGUCUCUGCUCGGACCCAUUUCACCAUUUUAACAAGCUGUUCUUCGCACAUGCAGGUAGCUAUUCUCAACAAAAAGGGGUAGGCAGCCGAGGCUCAGGCUCUCUCAAAACUUGAUUUGAUUUCAAGGUCAGAUUUUUAUCACUUUUCAACAAUCACUACUACUACUCAGAAUCACUCUCCAUGCUCUCCAUUCCUUUCAGCCCUCUUCGCUUUUGCUGUUCACAAAAAUAUUCUAAACUAUUUCAGUAUUUUUCUUUUUUUUUUUUUUAAAAAAAAAGAAAUGAUUCAUUAGGUAAUAGUAGUAGGACCCAUUAAUCUGUAACCUAUAUAAAUAAUAUUAUAAGACAUGCACGCCAUAUCUCUUUUGCAACCGUGUAUUCGACGCUUAAACUAAAUGCCUGAUUAAUUUUAAAAGAAAAAAACAAACACCUAAUUGAAAUUUAUUCGCCUUUAGCCCUUUUAUUUGUAUUUUUAUUUUUAAAAAGAAACAAGGGAGACUGAAGAGGAAAAUUAAUCACCUUCUUGACACUUUUCUUCUCUCUAACCUCAUACCGACUCUUCGUUAAAUCAGAGAGCCACAUCCCCGGAAAACAAUACUGCCAAAUAAACACCAAAAAUAAAAUAAAUGAACAAAUAUAAUGCUUGUUUAUGAAAAUGAAAAUUAGGUAAACAGAUAAGGAAAGAUAUAAAUAAAUUAUUUUUUUUGAAAAAAAAAAAAAAAACAGAUUCAUUUUAUCUUUCUUCUUUCUUUAAUCCGUGGCUUUUGGUUAUUGUGUGGUACCUGGAGAGUUCUAUCAAUAUUCUUGGCUCUUUUCUUGGGUCUAUGAGGGAGCUUUGUGCCUUUCAUAGCUAGAAAGUCAUCUUCUUUCUCCUUUCUAGACAAGGCAACAUAUAUCUUUGGCCACUCGAUCACUUCCGCAUUAACCUUUUGGGCAACUGAAACUGAAACUGAAACUACUGUGUUACUUGUACCGGCGGCACCUGCAGCUACAGCUCCAGCCCGAGUCUCUUGCUCUGAUCGAACUGGGUUUGUAGUUGCAGCACUAUCAGCUCUUGUUAUAGAUCCAUUUGUUGUGUUCUCGUCUUUUCGUAUCUUUUUGUCCAAUUUUUCUGAUGAAUGAGGAGAUCUUUUGCCAACGGCAGAUCUUGAAACACCCCGGCUACUAUCACCGGCUGCGUUUCGUGAUGGAGACCCAUUUGCUGCUGCGGGUCGAUCUUCUAUAUUCCUGAUCAUGGUAAAUGUUGAUCGAAUUUUAUUGACUCUUUCACAAGCACACAACAAAAUACUCGGACAGCACCAGAAAAAUAAAAAAAGACCAGAAAUUAAUAUUUAACACUAACAAGUGAAAUAUAUGAAAAACAAAAACAACACACAAUGUAAUUUUGGGAAAGAAAUAUUCGAAAAAUUCAAUUAGAUAGUAAAAGGAGGACUAAAAAAUGAAUUUUCAAAGAGAUGGCAUCAUUUUCAAGAUCCGGACAAAAGCAUUAAUCAAUGACUCCAUCAAAGAAAACAAGUUAAGAUGAACCGGAAGGGGAUGGGUAAAAGGUGGUGGAUAGUCCAAAUGCCAAGAGAUCAUUCAUUUGCUCAUCUUUUAAAGGGUAUAAAAGUAAACUCACUAAUAAAAAUUAAAAAAAAAAAGUUCGCAAAUCGUUUAGAGAAGCCUCUUCACACAAAUAAGGAGUGAUGGGUUAGAACAGUAGAUCCUAACCCAAAUUGAUUGACCCAAAAUUCUUUCCCAUCAACCAAUAAACCCCCUAAAAAAUAAAUAAAUAAAUAAAAUCAAAUAAAAUUAAAUCAUUCCCCACCACAUACAAAGUAAAAGAGAAAACUCUUAACCCAGAGAAAAACAUAAACGUAAAAUUAAGAACAAUGAAAAAGUUCAAAAAAUAAUAAUAAUAAUAAUUUGGUACCUGUUGUUAAUGAAUCCGGAGGAAUCUUUGGUUCUGAGAUUAGAAGGUCUAGUGGAGGUAGAGGUAGCAUUGGAAGGGUGAAAGUGAGGCGGUGGGGGCGGAGGCUUGUCGAUGAAGGGAGAUCCUGCUCUUCUAUGGAAAGGAGAAGAAGACGAAGAAUCAUCAUUGACACUGAGUGAACGGAUCUCAGUUCUAGAAAGCCUUGCUCUCUUUUUGUGACCCCACUGCAAUUGCAGCAACACAUCUCCUCCUCUACCGUUGCUAAGCUUGUUGUGGUCUGAGAGCGGAGAAGCAGAAGCAGUCGUAGUCGUAUUGUUGUUGUUGUUAAUACUAUGAUUAUAGUGAUUGGUAUUGUUGUUUUCUUGUGACGGCGGCGGCGGCGGCGGCUUCGAUGGGGAUCUGAAUCUGAAGCCGCUCUCAAUUCCGUUGGUAGUGGUUAGGACGGUUUUGGUCCCGUUUUCACCUUCUUCUCUACAUCUGAAGCUGGAUUUUGAGCCAUUAUUGCUCAGCGGAUUAUAAUCUGGGCUCACUCUCUGAUAUCUGUAAAAGAAAACAACCAAAAUGAGGAAUCAAAAGAUCCGCCGGUCGAUCAAUUAACAACAUAUAAACAAUUUGUUUCAGCUCAAAUUCCAUUAUAGUUUGCGGAUAUAAACAGCACGAUGCAACCGCCGAAUCUCAUUGGAUCCAUUAAAUCUCAUACAAACAAAGCAGCCCAUCCCCCAGAAGGGCAUGUGCGUGCGAGCAGAUGAGACGAAGAGGGUCAUUGAAGGCAAACCUCAUCAUUAUCAACGGGAACAACUAAAACAAGUGUUGAAUGGAAAAGCAGCGUAGGGUAAUCUUCAAUAUGAAACGGCGACGUUCUUCAGUUUUUUUUUUCCUUUCUUUAUUCUUACAACAAAAGAAAGAAAAGAAAAGGGGGGGGGGGGGAAGGCAGAGAGAGUUGUUGAGGAUGAACAAACAAUGGAGGAAGGAAACCUGCUGUGGUGCUGUGUUGAGGCGAUGCCCAUAUUAUUUAUAUAAAUACUAUUAUAAAUAAAUCAAACAUAAAUAUAAAAUUAUAAAUAAUGGAGCGGUAAUUAGUACAGUAGGCUUUUAAUCUUUGGCAAGGAGGGACGUGCUUUUAAUCAGUGAUCACCUUCUUAGUUUUAUUUUAUUUUUUCUUCUUUGUUUUGUUUUUCUCCCCAUAAAGUGAUUGGCAUAAUAACAUCUAGAUCCCUGGAUUUUAUAUAUUCUCCGCCAAGAGCAGACAUUUCUCCUUGUAUACUCUUAAAAUGACUCAAAUGCCCUUUAGCGACUCAGUGUUUCAAUUGUUAUUGAAUUAUUUGACACAAAAAGAAAACCUGCGUAUUUUAUUCAAGGUUUUCAAAACAUUAGGGGCCUAGAUGUUAUUAUUUAUAAAGUUUAAUUUGACUCCGUGACCUAAUUUUGUGUUUCCAUUUAUAGUCAUAGUGAAAGCUUCUUUAUCUUCACAAUAUUAUUAAUUAAAUUUUUUCAUGAUAAUUAUUAACAUUUAAUUGCUCUAUACUUUUGCUUAAUAAGCCUAUCCUGCGUCAUAAAACCCUAACAACUCAUUGUUUCCUAACAUUAACCCUAACUCUCUUUCGUAAUUUUAUCAUUUAUUAUUAUUAUUUUUUAUAUACAUUCCAUUAUUUUGAAAAUAUUUGACAUCAUUUUUUUCCAAACGCAUAACAUUAUGCUUAUUCACUUUGUAUAGUUAAUUGGAAUACUUAAUAGUGCUACAUUUUAUGUGUCAUCAAUUGAGUAAGUUAUAAAAACAAUAUGCUACUAAUUGAUAAUAAAAUCAAUUAAUAACAUGCACAUGGUAUUAAAAAGAUUGGUGACACAUAAGUAGGUAUUCCAACUAAGAGCUAAUUUGGUAAUGAUGUAGCUUUUAAAAUAAUUGCUAUUAGUCGUACUGUAAAAUAAUCAGCUGUAAAGAUAAUCAGUUAAACAUUUGGUAAAAUUUAUUUUAAAAAAUAUUGUGAGUUUUAAAAACAGUCAUGUGUAAGGUAAAUCUUACUAUAAAUCUGUUGUAAAAAUAUAAAUAAUUGAAUUAGACAUAAUGCUGAACAUAAUUUAUUUACACAUUUAUAAACAUGCAUAAAAUAUUUUUAAUUUUGUGUAUGUAAUAAUUGAUAAUUAAAAUAAAUAUUUUAUAUUAUUAAUUUAUUUUUAUUUUGUUAUCUCAAUAUAAUAAGUAGUAAUAAUAAUCUCUUUAAAGUUAAUAAUUUUAUUUUCUAACUUGUAAGGAUAAUUUUAGAUUUUUAAUAUGUAUAUAACCAUAUAUAUGAAAUUAUAUUAAAUAUAAAAAUCAUUAUCAAAAUCAGAUUUUAAAAAUUACUCAUUUCUUACUUUUUAAAAAGCUGCUACAAGAUAGAGUGACUUUUGACAAAAAUAAUUUUUAAAAAAAUUUACCAAAUACUAAAAUUGAUUUUUAACUUUUCAAAAUCACUUUUGAACCUCCUAAAAAUAAAUGUAAAUGAGCCCUAACUAUCUAAACUUAAUAAUGAUAUUCAAUUUUAAACGAAAACAUUUAAAUUAUAAAUAUAUGUAUUUGUGUAUGGAGAUAGGGUGUGAUGAAGUUUGUGAUUAAAAAACAAAUAAUAAUAAUACAUAAUUAAUAUACCCGUACACUUGUUUAGUGAACGAAUAGAAAGAUUUUCAGAAUUUCUUGAGGAAAUUUAUCAUUUUUAUUGAUUGAAUAAUAAUUUUUAUAUUUGCAAAAAAUUAUACAAAUAACUUUUUUUUUUUUUUUUCGUAAGGUAAAAAUGUAAGUGUGGUCAUAGGUGUAGGGUUCGAAAUCUUAUUUUAAACUAAUGAUUACUCGGAGGCGUGAGCGUGACGUUGUGAGCUUAAAAUAUUGACAGUCUAAGCUAUUUUCACGGGGAUUAAAAAGACUAAAAUACCAUCAACACAUCAUUAGCUUCGCGCAGUCAUCAUCAGAUCCUAAUUCAGAAAACAAAAGGCAUCUUUCUUUAUAAUUUUCCAUGCGUCAAGAUUCUAAAACCUACAAGGAAUCUAGUAGUUUCGGUGGAAAAAAAAGGAAAAAAACCUCCAAUUUCCAUAAAUUUCACCUAAUAAACAGCUCCUCAACUACGAGAAUUUCCAUCUAUCAAUCUAGCAGAGAACUUGACUCUUGAUUCGUAUAUCUCCAAAACAGUUCGAAAUCUCGCAAGUUUUUGACAACGGAGAUCGUCGAAUUAUUCUGUUCAUUUAUUUGUUCUCUUUUCGAGGAGUGGGAUCCUUCCCUACUUAAUUUUCUAACCAUGAAUGUUUGCCAAAUGUGGCGGCAAAGAGGCUGGUUCUCAUGUCAAAUAAUGCCAUAUUUUGUUAUUUUUUGUUGAUGAUGUAUAAUACCCCCAAGAUGUCAUGUCUCCCUAAUAGCAUGCCUGGCAUGUAAAUAUUGGUUGAUUUACUAAGAUCUUUUGCCAAAAAAUGUUAAAAAGAUUUUGUUAUUCUAUUUGUGUUCUAUGGUAGAUACAAGGGGCAUAAAGUUCACGUUUAUAUAACAAAAAAGAUCACAUAUACAAAUCAUAUGACAAAGAAAGAGGACAAACGACAGCUGUUUGCUGCUUCAUUUAACUUCACAUCUUAGUGCAAAAUUCUUGAGCCACACAAUUACAAGAACAAUCCACUAACUGCAACAUCACAAUCCCCCAUUUCAGGGAGGAAGGGCUGCAUAUACAUUAUUUUCAGCCUUGCAAAGCAACGUAUAUCUUCUACUUCUCAGCCGUCUUCGUCGAUUUGCUUUUGCCGUUCUAGAUUGUAUGUUGAAAAAUAACCCGGUGAUGCUAGACAGCAUUACAAGCAUGCAAGAGCAAAAAAGGAUUUGAAUAUUGGAGUUUUAGGACCUGUUUGGAACCGAGGUGCAUAAUCUUUUUACCCAAUCAGCUGCUGAGAAAUGAACUCUCUAGCUGUUAAAAUGAUAAACGGAGUCAUGAGGUGUCAUAAAUAAGUUGUUAACCAAACACUAAAGCUACUAUAUUUUCAUUCAUAGACUUGCCCUAAAUUCACUAGGUUGAUUAUGCAUUUUGAUAUAUAUCAUAUCAUGUAUGUCAAGAAAAGUUGAAACAGACAUCAGUAAAAUCAUGCCCUGUCUAGUUUGAUUACCUUAUCAUAACAGACAAUUCAAGCGGGCAAAAUGAGAUCUCAAAAUGCAUAAUCACCAAAGUGGUUUAUGCAUGCUUGAAAACUAAAUCACAGCUUUACAAGCGUACUCCAGCUUACCUAAAUAAUAAGAAAUCAGAAUAUUUGCAGUUAUCGGAACAACCUUGGAACUGAUCUCUUUGGUACUUUGCCCUCAAGCUUUAGUCGUCUAUAAGCUUCUCUGAUGUGGCAAGGCCUGAUUGGCCCAGAUUCAUUCCUCUCCGUCAUAACCAUUCGAGCUGCACAACCACAGAAGAAAAGGUGAUUCAAACUUCUAAACACAAUCUUUGAUGCAUAUUACACAAACCACCAAUUCAUAGCUAAGGUUUUGGGUUUCUAAAGACUGUAAAAAAAAAGCAUUAAACCAUUACUGUUUGAAGUAUUCAGACCUUUCCCCUAGCCACAUGACUAUCUUUUACUUAACAUAUUCAUCAAUUUGCAAACAAAAUUUGGGUAACAUUAACACAAAAACCUGUUUCAACAAGUUCACCCACAAACAUUUUAGCAAUCCCACAGACCACAAUUGUCAUUGGUAAAGAAAUUUUCUGGCUCCCGGUGAUGCUCACCAACAACUGCUUUCACAAAACAAGAGAAAUGUAAUCAAUACAAUAAAGUCACGGAGAACAUAAACAAUCGAACCAAGUUCAAAGAGUUAAGGGAUGCAAUAAAUACCCUUCUCAUGUUGGACUUCUGAAGUGCAGAUCUCCGAAAGGACUCGUACCGAUUCAUCUGGUCCUCAGUGAACUGAUUAAGAAUAGCUUGCAUCUUGGCCAUCUUAGCAGGGUCAGAACUAGAAGGGAACUUGCCAAGUUCCACAUCCACGUUUUCGUCGUCUUCUUCGUCAUACUCAUCUUUAUUCUUGGACAUGGUCAUCUUAGCAGCAGGGCCAGCAGACACGGACAUUGGAGCUUGACUCUCUAGAUUAUCAAACUCAUCUUCUAACUCGCCGGUAACGGCGGCAGUGGCAGAACCAGCAGCGGUACCAGUCUGAGGUUGAGUCUCAAUCUCUAACUCAUCCGGGGAAUCCCCGGGCGAUUCCUCCAAUGCUGCCUCAAAUGGGUCCUUUGACUGCUUCAUCCUCUGAACCAAUACCAUACGAUGCAAUUUCUUAAUUGACCUAGACCCUAGGGUUUCUAAAAAGCCAAAACCCUAAAUUGAAUAGUAAAAAUAAAUUAGAUUAACAAAAAGCAAUACCUCAAUUUCGCAUAAUGGAGAAGAGAGCGCAGCAGCGUGGGCCAGGUGUUAGUUACUGUGGACGGCGAUGGGUUAACGCCAAUUUGCCCAGGACCGAGCUGGAUGACGCCGACCGUAAUAAGAAAUUUCUUUAUUCUUGUAUCCGAUGGACUAGUUGUGGCCCAGCCUAUUAUAAAAACAAUGUAGUCCAAUCAGUCUGAGUGAAGCCUUUCAUAAAAGAAGUCUUGUGCUUCUAUUCCAUUUUACUAAUAUGUCCCUCAGUUUUUAUCAAAUUUACAAUUUUUAGUAUUGCAUCUGCAUACCAUACUAGAGUUACAGGAAUUUCUGUCACCCAGGUAAAAUGUUGGCAGAAAGCCAUUAACUCAUUCAGCUCCAAAGACACUCAGGGAGAAAAAUGUAAAUAUACCAUCCAGCUCCAUCACAUUGGUACAAUUCAAUUGCAUCUUAAAGAAAUAAUAAUAAUAAAUUAGAAUAAAAAAAGGGGGUAAAUCAAUGUUUGAAAAGAAAGACAAAAUGACUAAUAUUAAACUCCAAAAGAAUAACCUAACAAAUUGGAAUUCCUUGUUUAUAACGGGACCAGAUACAGAAAAGAAAAAAUGUAAGUACACAUCAGCACCUAACAGAAAAACCCGCUGCCCUUCUCCUCUUCUCAGGAAGCCGAAUAAAUAAAUAGAACUAGCUGGCAGUCUUCUUCUGCCCAGACAUAUGCAGUUAAGUUAUCAAACCCUGGGUGUUUUUCCGUUUCCAUCUCUAACAGAAGGCAUUCUGACCAUGUCUUCAUCAUCAUGACAUUGAAUUAGAGCGAUGGUCCUUCAGAUCCUUGAGGCUCUACAAUCCAACAUGUAAAUUAAAAAAUGUAGCCGAAAUUAAUCACUUUCAUUUGACAGGGUGGAUAUAAAGACAACCAAUCUGACCACUUACCAGCCGUUUGAAAGAUUUGUUACUCGUAGAUUUCUUUAACUUCUCUGCGUCGGGUUUUGCACGAUCCAACGUCUAUGGAACAUUAAAAGUCUUGCAUUGGUUAGAAACUGAGCAUGUAAAAUAAUAUAUCUCCCCAAAGAGAAUAAUUAAAAUAUUUUUUUUUGGUCAAAUUUUAAACUAAUAACAAAGCAACCCAGAAAACUUAAAGAAAAUAGCCAAAAGAAAGUGGAAGUACUACCCGAAUCAUAGAUUCUACACGACGCCUCAUUCGUGUAUGCAUGAAACCCUCCGAGCACUGAGAAAGAUUAGUGGAAAUAAAUUGUGAAGAAUCAAGUCAAAGUAAGCACAGCUCAAUGGCAAAUGGUAAAACUCAAAUAAAGAUAAAAUAAUCAAAGAUUAUCCAACUGAAAAAUACCAAGUAUGAUCUUGGCACAACGUGCUUUGCAUCGUUUUUUUAUUUCACGUUACCAUUCUAAUCUACGCAAGAGUUUGAGAUAAACUACUAAGUAUUGAACGAUUGAUAAGGAAACCCACCUUAACAUGAUAACUAACAUAUGCAUGGAAAGUUGAUAAAUUCCAAACUGUACGAUCCAAUUUUUUCCCUUCCACGUGUCGGGGAAAUAUCACUACAGUGGGUUGAAAACAUUAAAAAGUUAUAACAAGAAUAAAAAAGAAAGAAACAAUCUGUACUCAUUCAUCUGAUAUUACCAAAAGUAACAAAUCCAGCAUUGGCAGAUAACGUUUCAGAAGGAACUCCCUUCAGUUCCAGUGGCGGAGAAGAGGACCACAUGCAAAGAGGUGCGUUAUUAAGUCCAGCAGUACGUCUUGCUUCCACAAAUUCCUGAAUACCCAAGGAGAAUAAAGGAAACAUUACAGAAAAAUACAAAUUGAAGCUAAACCUUCAUGCAAAAUAGCAAUCAUCAAUCUUUUAAUAAUCUAGAAAAUUCAUAGAAUCUACGUUUGAGGGAAGUAAAAGUUGGUUCUGAACAAUCCUUGAUAUUUUGAAUUAGGAGUGACAAUUUGUAACAUGACCCACCAACACAAAACAAAGAUAACAUCAACUUAGUGGGAUAAAGUUGAACUUAAUCGUGUCCAUGUUAUAUUUGUGUCAGUCCAUUUAACCCAAUAAAUAGAUGUAUCAAGCUCAGAUUGUAUCCCCUAACCUGUGAAUUUGUUUAAUGAUACAAAUUGUUAUCUGUGUUGUCUCAGAUUGUUUAAUGACUAGAACCAUUCGAUUUGAAUUUGUUUAACGGGUAAUGUCGGACAAACUUGUGUAAAAAGUCGUGUCAUGUUAUCCACUAAUAAGUGGGUUCUAUUCGUUUUGGCUUUUAAAUCCCUGACAUGAUCAAUUAAACAGGUUGUGUUUGAGUUGACCCCAAUCAUUUGACACCCCUACCUCAACACAACAGAAACGCAACUUGCCAAUAUGAAUUGCCACCAAUAUUUUGAAUCCAUGUUGCAAUAUCAAAACUUCAAGCUAGUAGGCAAGAUUAUUUACUAACUGUACCUGCAGGAAGGAAGUAGCAAGAACAGUAUCUAUGGAGUCAUUGAAUCGCAUAGGAAACACCACAGUCACCUUUUCUGCCUGCAUUAACAAGUGCACUGUUUACUCACAUAAACCAGAAGUAUUGCCACAUCAUACAUGUAAAUAAAUGAAAAGCCAUGUGGACAAGUACCCAGAUCACACAAGCUCUGCAAAAACAUAAGACCUCAAUUUGAAAAAUAACAGAUCCAUCUUUAUAGAAGGACUAAAAGUGAAAACAACUCUCAGAUGAAAAAAAUAUGGAGUAAGAAAGAGAAGAGGGAAAAUGAUAUUCAGCUCUGAAAGAUUUCUCUUGGAAUCAAGUUUUGCCAAAUUCUAUCGUACAAAAUAAUGAUAAAUAUAUAACAAGGAGAACCAACACAGCUAAAAGAGACUUAUCACUGUACCUGAGGAAUAAGGAAAAAUGACUCCUUCGGUCGAUGCACAAGGGCAAGAAGCUGAUCUAUAUCAGAAGCAACAGUCUUUGAUGCAAGAUGUUUUAGUACUACUCUUAAUGGGGCACCUAACACCACUUCCCUAACAGAUGCAAUCUUCACCAAAAGAGCAUGUUUGUUCUCUGCAGAAAAUCAAAAUAAAAACUGUCAAAAAUGGUACUAAAAGUGAUUAAAAGAAUAAAAAUUUAGAGGCCAGUUCAUUUUGUUUAUGUAUAUUAUGGGUUUUGUGGUCCACGUGGCACUACAACCAGUCAGGGCUAGAGCACAUAAGACUUUGCAACUAUCUUCAAGAAAUGUCCCAUCUUCCCUAUCAUAUUCACUCAAACUGCAUAUCAUGCAGUUGCUUGGAUAUCAACCAGGACAGGAAAAACAGACUCACCCACCAAUUACUCAUGUAUCACCGCAAAACGAACGCAAAUUUUCAAUUCCCUAAUCUCGGAAGCAGCUAUUCACUGCAUGAUUAUUGGUGUACAGCUCAAUGACGACUAAACAAAAAUGGAUAGAUGAUGGUUACUUGCAAAUGAUGGUAUAGGUACAGACAACCUCAAGCUAUGUGCUAAAAGUUGUAGACACACAUAUUUAAGGCAACAAGUUUUCUAACAAAACCUGGUCAUCAGCUUCUUCUUAUGUCCCAGUUGAGGCAAGUUAUGGAUUUCAUCGCUAAAAACAUUACAAGUUUCCCUUCAUUCUCAUAACAAUUGUCAAAGUAUUUGUCAGACAACAUCUAUUGACAAUAUUUUUUCAGAGGAAGCAUCAAUUGACACUCUAACAUUGUGCAGCAAGAUAAAAAAUUAGCAGACAGUGAAAAGAAGGAAGCUACAGAAAAGGCAAUCAAAAAACUGCUUCUGCCAUAAGAAUGUUAAUGGCUCAUUCUAGAAUAUACCCUCUUCAAAAUCAAGAAGUAGUAAUCAACAAUAAAACUAUGAUUAAAAUUUGGACAGCCUCUCAAACUCAUCACUUUAUUUCCUUUGCCUCUCAAGUGACUCAACAUUUAUAUCUUCGUUCCAAUUGCAUUUGUUAGUGUAGCUAUUCAUUAUUGCAAAGGAAUAUCCAUCAACACAAAAAAGAACCCCCUACCAACAUUAAUACUUGUUUCAAAAAGCCAGGACAUUUCACUAGGAAAUCAGAGAGUUUCAAUUUUCUAAUCAACUAAAACACCAUUAAGUCACAAUCUGCAAAAAGAAUAUGGACAUGAAAACUUUUAAAAUGCUGAUCCUAAUUGUCUAUGGCAUAUUAAUAGCAAGCUUAUAAUGACCUUAGAAAAGGAACUCGUUGAACCUUCAUUUGGAGGAAGCUUUGACAAAUUAAGCUUCAAGGUAAGAUUAAAACCAUCCCUAGGAGGAUCAAGAAUCUGUACAACAUUUCCAUAAGCCGCUUUUAUAGCUUCUAUGGCUCCAAAUGGGAGCCCACCAAUGAAAAUGGUUUCAGGAGGUGGGACCGGUAACGACACUGAUAGUAACACUAUAUGUGGAUUCUUCAUCGUCACCUGCAAAUAAUUUAAAAAUUAAUUCACAUAACCCGUUUCAAGACAAGCGUCAGCUUCUUCAGACUUUAAUUUAAACCAAUGGGUUUAGAUUAAAUUACCUGAACAUGGUAACGAACAUCGUCAAACUCAACCCAGUGGUAAUCCACCUCAGUAGCUUUAUCAACACUGCAGAGCAGAAUCAACCAAAAUUAGAAUACCAAUAUAAAAAAUUCGUGUGAAAUUGGUACAAGCAAAUAGCAAAAAAUGGAGUAAUAAAAAUGCAGAAGCUCAUAAGAACUUACUUUUGAACUCGAUUCAACAAAGCCUCAAGAAGGAACCUCGAGUGAGACUGUAAGAGUAGCAUCUGUUGGAUGAAAAUUGAGAGGGGUUAUGUCUUAUUCUUAUGAUUAUGAUUGUGAUUGCUAUUGUUUGUGAUCUGUUUUUGAUUUGUCACAUAGACAGAAACGUGAGACGUGAUAAUGUUUAUGAGGAGAUUCUUUCAAUUUUCAAGAGAAUAAUUAUCAUGUAGGUCCUUAAUUGUUUUCGUUUUAUAAAUAAAAACAUAAUGUGUUACAUCUUAUUAUACAACUCCUUACUGCCAAACGGAUUUAUGGACCCUACUAAAUUGGAACUUUGAAUGAAACCUAGUAGGUCCCAUCGGCCAUCUCCCACUUCCAGUCGGAAGAAAAUAUGAAGUCCAUUUUGGCCACAUUUUGUUAAUUGAAUUAUCUUUAGCAGUACUUAUGAUAUGCAGUAUAAUAUUGCAUUCAAAAUUUUAUUUUAUUUUAUUUUUUUCAAAGAAAGGGUUGGGCAAAUUUUAAAAUGUAUAUUUAGUACUUAUCUAUCUCAGGCCAGGUAAAUUAAAUUACUUAAAAAUCAGUCAACUAAUUUUGAAGCUAUUACAUUUACACUCAAGUAAUUUUGAGUUCAAUUUUUAAAAAAAAAUUACUAAGUAUUAAUAAAUAUAUAUUAAUAAUUUUUUAGAGCUUUCUAAUCACAAGGCCUAAGAUCAAAUUUUGGAAUUAACCAAAUCUUAAAGUGCAAAAACCAUUAGACCCCUUAUUCAACUUCAAAAAUCCAAACCAAUACAUUUCCUUUGUAUUUCACUAUCUAAUACCUUAAUGCUACAAAAGGCAACAUUAUAAUAUAGUGAACAUAGAACUACAAUUUUCUCCGUAUAAAUUGAUUUAUUUAGGGUAGUAUAAAUAAAAGGAAUAAAUGUAUUAAAAUGUUGAAUGACAAACGAUAUUUUUUUUUUAUCUAUAUUGAGAAAAAGUUUUAUAUGAGACAAUCUGAAUAGAAUCAUCCAAUAAAAUCAUGAUAUGUAUUAUGAAUAUUUUUAUCUCAUCAAUAAUAAUUGGUCAAUUUGAAAAUAACUAUGUAUAAAUUUAAUUUUAAUUAAGUAAAUAUAUAAAUAACGUGAUACAUCUGUCUCAUCUAAAACUUUCUCUUAUAUCAUGCAUUAAUUAAUAAUCACAAUUUAUAUUUUACCAAUAUCAAUAAAGAAAAUUUAUGCUUCACCACUAUCAAUAAUGGGAUAUGAGUGCUACAAAAUAUAAGUUCGGUAACCUAGAACUUUUGGUAGAAAAAAUUUGGAGCCAAUUUAAAUUCAUCUUUGGUCAUGAACCAAAACCGAACCGGUUCAUAUGAUCAAGCUGAACCGAUUUUAUUAAGUUGAAGGGUAUCUAUGACAUUGACCCAAAUUAAGAAGUUGAAAAGUUCGGAUAUUUAUCCUACAGACUCCUGAUACUUUCUCUUAUUAAUUAAGAUGAAAAUGCGGACAUUUAUUUAUGUUAAAUAGGUCCUUACUUUUAUGAUAAAUAUCAAAAAGCCCCUUGGAUUAGUCACGACCGUUGAAAUUAUAAUAACAUAAAUUUUUAGGACAAAAAUGAUAAAAAUCAGUUAAAAAUUGGAAUCUCGAUCCAAGUGAGUGACAAACUGAGAGAUUUUAAUUUGAUGGAUGGGAGGAGACUGAGAAGAUUCGGGAGAAGAAGGAGGAGGCAGUCCUCCCUUCUUCCGGUGGGCGCAACCGCACCCGAUGAUAACGCCGCCUACACCGUUUCGUGCUGUUACUGCGAUUUCAAAAUCCGUGCUUUGAAUGACGCUCUGUCCCGUUUUGGACGAAGACAUGCCGCUUGGCUAAGAGUUUGGUUCUCCAUCGGCGUCGGUUUCAGCCUCACGCUGCUGCUUGCACUCAGCUUCCUUCUCGUUUGGAAUCUUUUUGCUCAAAGGAAUUCAAACGACGCCGCAUUCUUCUUCUUGUUUGGCUUUUCGCCCUCGGUAGGCACCAUUAAUUGAAUUAGUAGUAGAGUUUGUAUCCGUUGUAUUAUCAAAUUAAUAAUUCAUGGUGGACAAACAUGUGGCUUUAAUAAUAACAUGAGUUAUGAUGCUGCCACGUCAGGUUGCAAAGGUUGAUUUUUCAUUGUGUAGCUCUGGUAUUAUUUUGUUGUUAUUUAUGGUUCGUGAUUGCAGGUAUCACUUGCUGAUGCUGCCUAUCUUUUGCUUUCUACUUUGAUUUCAGUAUCUGUGCAUGAAUUUGGCCAUGCUACAGCUGCUGCCUGGUGAGGUUGCUUUCUCUUGUUCUCAAACGAUGCUUGUUUACAGUACAUAUAUGAUUAUGAACAGUAAGUCAGAAAAGCAAGACUUAAAUACUAUUAAUGGAUGUUACGAUUAUUGAAGAGCAGCGAGGGCGUACAAGUGGAGUACAUUGCUGUUUUUUUUGCGGUUCUAUUUCCUGGAGCUCUUGUUGCUUUCAAUCAGGACUUGCUGCAGUCAUUACCACGCUUUACUGUUCUUCGUGUGUAUUGUGCUGGCAUUUGGCAUAAUGCUGCAGUAAGAAGCUCACUCAAUAUGGCAACAAAAUGCUUGUGUGCCAUUGUAUCUGUUAAAUUUUUAACUGAACUUUAUUUUCAGUUAAUGCUGAUUUCCUGCAGUUUCUUCUCUAGUGUUGUGCAGUCUGUGGAAUGCUGCUAUUUCUCAUGCCCUUGAUCUUGUUUCCCUUCUACAAACAAUGUGAAGGCACCAUGGUAAUUCACCACAACCGCGGACAUUUUUCACGUGACUUCUUAUAUGUGCAAACAAACAUCAAAGAUUAUAUAUUCUGAUUUGACACAUUGUUCCCAUAUACGUACUUUCCUAUAUCUGGUUGGUUUGCAUAGGUUUUGGAUGUGCCGUCUACUUCACCUUUGUCGGGCUAUUUGUCACCUGGAGAUGUGAUUGUGUCUUUGGAUGGCAUACACAUCCAUAACGAGCAAGAUUGGAUGGAGGUGGCUGCUUUGCUGGAUAAAUACACUCCGCAAAAUUCAAGUCAUUCCAAAUAUCCUGGUUUAAGGGCAGCUGAUGGCAGAAAGGGAUACUGCGUCUCUAAUUAUAUGAUCGAAGAGAGCAAGAAGAUUCAAUUGUUAGACAACCAAUCUGCUUGUCCCAAUGAUUUUACUGCAUUUGUUACGGUUCAGUGCUUUGAUAUAAGUAUCUCAGUUAAUGUUAGCAGUGAAGGGGACCAGCUAAACAAAUUAGAGAACGUUUACUGCUUGAAUGCAAACGAUAUUGUCAAGCUCAAGAAAUGUGGUGAUGGAUGGGUCACAUCUUCAACAAAUGGAAGCCACUGUGUGUGCUCUAAGGUGGAUAUUUGAAUCUUUGGGAAUGAAAUAAAGGCUUUCAAGCAUUGUAACGUCUAUCAAUCAUUCUGUUUUACUUCUUGUUUUCUUGAAAUCCAGUGGAAAUAUUCUGUUUAGUGACUGAAUAAAUAUGUGACAAAUAUUCACAGGAGGAGUCCUGCUUGACUCCGGUUCAGUUGCCAGGUUUGGCAUGGGUUGAGAUUACAUAUUCAAGACCUUAUUCCUUGGAGUGCAAGCAACUUUCAAGAAGUUCAGUUUCUGAUACCAGGACUACUGACUUUACGGAUCCACACUGUGGUGGAACUUUUGUCUUCUUUGGUGAUGUAAUCUUCAUGGCUCAAUCAGUUUCAUUAACUCAGUAUCAACCCCGUUGGGCAUCUGCUUUUGGUGCAUAUCUUCCAAACAUUCUGAGGAAGAGUUUGAUUUGCAUAUUCCACGUCUCUCUAACACUUGCUCUUCUUAACAGUUUGCCAGUAAGUUAUUGUUAUUUUUCAUUUUAUUGUAAGAACAUGAUUCUGUUCAAGCAAACAUUAGCCUGCAUUGGGGUGCAGUAUGUCGAAUUCAAGUUGAAUUCUUAAAUUAAAAGGGUCUGAGAAAUGAAUUGUCGUAAGUAAUCUUCUGUUAACCAUCGUAGUUAAUCAGGAAAUUAGUGGUGACCAUAAGGUUCUUAAGCUGAAGAGCUUUUACCUCACAUGUUAUGAUGAGGUUAAUUUUCUCUCUGAUUUUUGUUUCAUCUAGGAGAGGUACUUGUCAGAGAGAUAAAUGCUGGCAAAUGAAAGUGGAUUUUAGAUUUAAUCAUCAUCAAUGACAAAAUGUUACAAUGUUUGAUGGUGUUAAAUUAAUAAGCAGGCAGAGUGAAAUGUGUAUUAUUCGGAGGAUCAUCAAUGAUGGAGCUUGAUAUCUUGUUAUCUUUAGGUAGCGUCAGCAAUUUAAUUUCAUACAAUACAUAAGAUUAAUGUGAGAAUGCUUAUAUAAGUUUAAUCUAAGUACCUGUUAGGCUAUGAGAAUGCUUAUAUAAGAUUACCGUAUGCCAUUUCUUACAAAUCAAGUUUCAGUUUUUCUAAUCAUAAUAUUUUCUGUUAGGCAUAUUUUCUAGAUGGAGAAUCCAUUUUUGAGGUGACUCUAUGCUUCAUCACUUCACUGAGCCCAAGGCAGAGGGAAAAAGUUCGUCAUGUAUGUCUUAUGGGAGGGACACUCAUUUCAAUCCUCACCUUUCUGAUGACAUUCUUCAUUAAUUUUUUUGUAGGGAAAGGUAAUAGUGUUCUCUCUCUCUCUCUGUAGGAAAAUUACUUUCCUUCUCUUUAACAUAGCAAUAUCUUUCAUUUUUAGAUUAGUUGAUACUUUUGCAAUUUUUUUUGGCAAAUUAUUACGACUUGAAUUCCCCUAUUAAUGCAUGCAUACUAUCUAAUAAUUGAUUUAUUAAUAAAACUGUAAACAUUAUAUUUUUAUUCAUAACAUGUAUGGAUGUGUGACAGUUUAUAUUAUUCAAACAAAUGUAAGAUCAGUAAGAUACUUAGGCCUAGAUUGGUAUUGAGGCUGUAGCCUUUAAUUCAUAGUUGCUGUGGAAAAAGGCCAUAUCUAUGAAAUAAAAGUUGAUAUUGUAUAGUAAAUGUGGCUUUUAAAUAAUAAUUUUAACAAAAAUUAGUAAAUAUAUUAAGUUUUUCAUCAUACAAGUGUGUGAUUAAUUCAACUAAGCUUUCAAGUUAUAACAGCAAGUAUAUUUUACCAAACACUUUAGUGUUGUGGCUUUUAAGUUACAACUGUUUACCUCAAUACCAAACAGGGUUUUAAUAUGAAAUCUUAGGGCCUGUUCUAUAUUGUUUUUGAAUUGGUAUUUUUUGAAAACAAAAAUGAAAAUGAAAAUGAUGUUUUAUAGUUGUUGUAUUCCAAAUAUAAAUAUGUGUCAAGUUAGACUAUUGGCACCCCUUUUUUUAGUUAUAUUUAUUUUAUUUAUGAAAGUAUCCUUUUUCUUUUUGUAAAUACACUUCUAAUUUUUCAUUUAAUCUUCUUUUAUUUGUUAAACUCAAAAGUAUUUUUCAUUUCUUUUGCAAUCCUAUUAUUACUCUACACACAAAUUAAAACUUUUCUAGGUGAUAGAAUUUUUAAAUGUUAAUCACUGGCUUAAAUUACACAAACUUUACAUUAUAAUUUGAAAGCAAUCGUAAGUACAAAAAUAUUUAAUCAAUAAGAAAUAUGAUAAGAAUAACAGAUUAUUCUAAAUUUAUACAAGUUAUUUUAGUUAGAUAGGAAGUAACAUUUAAAAAAAAAAAAGGGAUUGGUUAUGAAUGCAAGUAAUUUGUUGGAAAAAAAAUCUAUGUAUGUUUAAUUUUUGUUUCUCUUUAAUUGUAAUUUAUUUGAAGUGGGAUUUUAUAAGAAUAAUGAAGGGGUGCUAAUAGCUUCACUGAUGCAUGUAUGGUAUUAUUUACAGUAUCCUUUGUUUUAAAAAUGAAAUCAGUAACAUGCAUAUGAUAAACAUAAUUGAAAAAGAUAAAAACAAUGAGUAUAUUUUUGACAAUAUCAUUUUUAGAAAUAAUUUUUACUAAUAUUUAAUAUUUAAAAAUACUAUAAUUUUUUAUUUAAUCUCUAUUUACUAAACUAAUAAUUCAUUUAAAAUUACACAAAUUAUUAAAUCAUAAAAAUACGUGAACAAACGUACCAUAAUCAACUUAGUAUUAGCAUUACUAGAAAAAAAAAGUUUUACAUUGUCAUUUUUCUCAAACUAUAAUUAAGAUAAUAUUACAACAGUUUAAAUAAAAUAAUUAUUGAAUUACAUGAUAAACGUUAUGAAUUACAGAGUAGCAGCAGCAGAAGAGAGUGAGAGCAACAACAGUGGCAGAGAUAGAACAAAAGCAGAGAGAAAAAGAGAGAGCGGAGCGGCAGCAACAACGAUCUUAUUCAAUAUUCAGUGAUGGUGAAUAUUUGUUGAAAAAGAAGAGCAAAAGCCAUGAAUCGAGAGUUGUGAGUUCAGAUCUAAUGGAGAGAGAAGAGAAGAUCAGUUUACAAAUAAGGUUUUGUUUUAGGAGGGAGAAGUAGUAGAAGUAUCUUGGGGAACGGUUAAAAAAUUGUUUUAUAAAUUUACUUUAAAGUUUGUUUUGUAAUUCACCCAAACCGUACGUAAUAUGUUUUAUUUGUUUUACAAUUUUUUUUUUCAGGACCGCAGAGUGAGUAUUGCACCUGGACUCUGAGAACGUAAGUGAAAAUACGGCCUAAAAAGGGAAAAUUAUCAUUUUGCUAUUAAAGUUAUUCUAGUAUAUCAUGUUAGUAUUAUAGUUUGUGAAAAAAUAUAUUUUAUUAUCAAAUAUUUGUACCGUUAUCAAUUCAAUAUUAUUCCGAUAAAAAAAGUUAAUGUUUAACGAAAACUGAAUUAAAAGUUGAUUUUACCCUCAAGAAUUUAGUAAUAAAAUGAUAAUUUUUUUAAAAUAUUGGUAGUAAAACGAUAAUUCUCUUAAAAUUUUGAUAGUAAAAUGAUAAUUUAUCUAUCAAAUUAACAGAUAAUUUUAUUUUUAUAGAUAGAUAUAUCUUUGAUGCCCUUAUGAAUUAUGAUAUUAGUAAAUUUUUAAUGUUCUUAACGGAAUAGUAAUGAAUUAAUAUCGCUGUAAAUGUUUAAUAAUAAAAUAUAUUUAUCGACAAAUUAUGAUACUAAUAUAAUAUGUCAGAAUAAUAUUAAUAGUAAAAUGAUAAUAUCCCCUAAAAAAUGAUGCUGCACUGGCCCUAGUUUUCAGAGGAUAACUACUCAACCUUAAUGUUUAGGAUUGCAGAUACGAGAUCCAAGUCGCUAUUGACAUCACUGUCAACGCUGCAUGGACAAGAGUAACCAUUGUAUUCGGUAGCAACGAACACUCCACGUGUAUCAUGAGUCAUCACUGUGUCCUAACUUUUACAUGGUUGCUCUUAAAUGUAGACAAAAGAGGAGACUGCUGUUUAAGUUAGACGAUUCUAGAGAACGUCGCAGACUCGCAGUUAACAUCUUAUGGGUAUGAAUUGGUUAAAAAAAAGAAGAAGAAGAUGCUUUGAAGGCAAUUAACAUUUAGCUAGUGUCGCUGUCACUUCCUCUGCUUAUUCCAUCAUUUAGUUUCCAAGUUCUUUUUGUCUUUUCUCUGGACAUUUUUGUGCCCAGAAUAUACUAGACGCAUUAUUAUUUAUUUAUAUAAUGAUGAAGUACAAUUAUAGCCAAUGCCCUUAAUUUGCUUAAUUGUUGCGGAACUGCCUUUGAUUUGUACCAAUGAAUGUCAUUUUAUCUAUAUGUAUUUGUCUUCUCUCCCAUUCAAUCUACCAUGACGGCUAUUGUAUUGAUUUGGCAUUAGCCAUUGAAUAUCAGUUUGUUAGAUUAUACAUUAGGCUGUACUAAGAAUGGAUUAAUGAGAUUGUUCAUUGCGAUGACACUGACAGUGUUCUUCCCACGUUUCAUUUGAGAUUUUAGGCUUCGGAGAGGAUAUAUUCCUUCCUCGCCUCCGAGGGGGUUCUCUGACUUACCAGUUGGAUAAGCCAAGAUAAAUAUUUUGCCUCUUUCUUUAUACUGAUCAAUUAGAAAAUCGUGCCGAUCCGGAUCCGGUGCCUAUUAAUUUUUGGAAUUUAUUUGUGUAGUCAGUUUUGUUAGGGUAUGUUUUAGUAUGCGGUGGUUUAAUUUUUAAUCAAGAGUUGCCGAGUAGGUAGUUGGAAACAUCAGCCGCAGGUGAAAAAAAAAAUGAGUAUAUACCAAGCAUCAUAGAUGUAAAAAUAAUUGAGAAUGAAAAUCAUAUUUUAAGGUUGAGUAUUUUUUUUUUUUUUUUGAUACACUAAUAUAGUACAAUCGGUGAUUUUUACAAUCAAAAAUCAGCCGGGACUUAGCCUAAGUAAUUCGAUUACAGCACAUCUCAAUUAUCAAUCCUAAUAAAUUAGAGGAAGAUUUGUCAUCACCAUUAAUAUCAUAGGGAAAUCGAUCCUACUAUAAUAUGGGAGCUAACCAUCCCCAUUUUUUAUGGAGAGGUAAGUUAAGUUCCAGUGUUGACCCUGCACUGAGACUUGAACUCAUGCCCUCAAGGUUGAGUAUGCUUUUGAUAUCAUUUCAUAAAAUUAGUUUUCUAAAAAUUAAAAUUAAAAAAAAUUUGGUGUCAUUUUUAAAAUUGCCAUCUGGUAUUCGGUUGAAAUAAAAAUAAAAUAACUAUGCGAGCAAAAUUUUAAUUAGGGAAUAUCGUAUUUGAUGAAGUGGGCCCCAACAUUUGGGCCUAUCGAAUUCGGACUUCCAAUAGUUUUGUCUUAUUAUAAGUUUAGUACUAAAAAAUAAUGGGAAAAUAUUUUCCAUCUUUUAGUUAUAAUUUGAAAGAUAAAUGUUUUUUGUUUUCAAAAAAAAAAAAAAGCUUUGGAAAAUAUGCCACCAUACAUAUUUUUCAAUGUUUUCUGUUUGUUUUGGGGGGGGAAGAAGAAAUAGCAAUUACAAACGCACACUCUUGGUCUGGUCUGUUAGUCAGUUUCAGAGGCUUGAUAUUAGUGGAAAACGUUGGGCUAUGGCCUAGUGGGCUUGUAAGUUUAAAAUAUGGGUCUAAUCUUAAGGCGGCUAUUUUUAAAUUUUUAAUUUUUUUUUAAAAAAAGAUUGUUUAGGGAAAGGUCACUUAUAUUUUCAUAUUUUAGGUCUUCGGUCACCUAAAUUCGAGUAAGAAUAAGACAUUAAAAUUAAUAUUUUAACGAGUGAGACUUCUGAUUUUACUAAAAAAUUUAAGUAAAGAAAAAAAAAUACUUGUGGUCGCUUUCUAUGGCCUAUUUAACACAAGUUGAUAUUAUAUUUAAUGUUUCCAAGCACUAACUAAAUCUAUAAGAGGGGAUAAAAAAAAAAAAAAAAGGAAAAGAAAAAAAGAAUCGGAUUUUGUUUCUGGAUAAUGCUUUUUAAAAAUAUCCCAUUUGCUUGCUCACACGUCUCCUACGAUUCUUUUGUUUGUAUAAGGUUGAGAGAGCAAAAUAAUCUCCUGCUUUGAACUUUGAAGAAGUUGCCUUCCAUUUUCCAUUUUCCAAAGGCUUCGAUAAAGUCGGUGAAAGCAGCUUAAUGGCAAUUGAUGUGAAAGCUUUGGAUAAGAUUUUUCCAUUUGCUGCAUUAAUCUCAAUUCGCCAUGCAUGUGAAAGGUCUCCGUUUCAGUAUUAUUUUAACAAGGGAAAAUAUCCACCGUCCACCUAUUUUCAAAAAUACACAAUUCCUUCAUUUUUUGGCUGGAAUCCACCUAAAGUUACAUUUUUUUUUCACUUUUCCACUUCCGUUUGGAAUCCGUUAAGAAAACUAACGGAAACUUAAAAAAAUGACUAUUUUACCCCCAAAACGA